rnacentral:rRNA from 1 species
GACGAACGCUGGCGGCGUGCUUAACACAUGCAAGUCGAACGUGAUUUUUGUGGAAAUUCUUUCGGGAAUGGAAAUGAAAUGAAAGUGGCGAACGGGUGAGUAACACGUGAGCAACCUACCUUACACAGGGGGAUAGCCGUUGGAAACGACGAUUAAUACCGCAUGAGACCACAGAAUCGCAUGAUAUAGGGGUCAAAGAUUUAUCGGUGUAAGAAGGGCUCGCGUCUGAUUAGCUAGUUGGAAGGGUAAAGGCCUACCAAGGCGACGAUCAGUAGCCGGUCUGAGAGGAUGAACGGCCACAUUGGAACUGAGACACGGUCCAAACUCCUACGGGAGGCAGCAGUGGGGAAUAUUGCACAAUGGGGGGAACCCUGAUGCAGCGACGCCGCGUGUGCGAAGAAGGUUUUCGAAUCGUAAAGCUCUGUCCUAUGAGAAGAUAAUGACGGUAUCAUAGGAGGAAGCCCCGGCUAAAUACGUG